UACAGAGGUCUCAAGCGUUGUUCGGAUUCAUUGGGCGUAAAGGGUGCGUAGGCGGAUUGUUAAGUCAGGGGUGAAAUCCUGGAGCUCAACUCCAGAACUGCCUUUGAUACUGGCGAUCUCGAGUCCGGGAGAGGUGAGUGGAACUGCGAGUGUAGAGGUGAAAUUCGUAGAUAUUCGCAAGAACACCAGUGGCGAAGGCGGCUCACUGGCCCGGUACUGACGCUGAGGUGCGAAAGCGUGGGGAGCAAACAGG
rnacentral:rRNA from 1 species